UACGUAGGGUGCAAGCGUUGUCCGGAAUUAUUGGGCGUAAAGAGCUCGUAGGCGGUUUGUUGCGUCGGCUGUGAAAUCCCGAGGCUCAACCUCGGGUCUGCAGUCGAUACGAGCAAACUAGAGUGUUGCAGGGGAGACUGGAAUUCCUGGUGUAGCGGUGAAAUGCGCAGAUAUCAGGAGGAACACCGGUGGCGAAGGCGGGUCUCUGGGCCGGCACUGACGC
rnacentral:rRNA from 1 species